rnacentral:misc_RNA from 1 species
CAAGCCCAGAAUAAUUAAAUUAUUACAGUACUAAAUAAGAUUAGAACACUACUAGUACAUGCAGAGUUCUAAAUUAUAAAUCAAGAAAAUAAAAUACAAAUAAAUUGUUGUUGGUAAACCUACGAGAAAGGAAACAGGUUAUUCAAAAAAAGAGUCCACCCGUCAUCUGGGAAAAAUGGUUGAAUAGGAGUAAGUGUUCGACUCAUAGAGUAAGAUAUUAAUUUUACAUAUCAUUUAUAUAAUUACCUAAGUCUAGUACAUCCGUAAGAAUGAAUGCAACACAUUCACACAAUUCAAACAGAUCAAGUCAUAAUUACAUCAAAAGUAAUCUGGAGCACUCCAAACCUUGUGUCACAUCCAUACUCACACACACACACACAUACAUAUAUUUAUAUAUGGGAGCUGAUCUCUCUUAAUUCCAAUAUCUGCCGGUAAGAUCAACUCAAAGUCGGACUUUCUCUUAAUAUCCAAAUGCGGGGGCCAGCGAGAUCAACUCAAAGCCGUGCCUAUCCCGACUUAACCAUGAUAAGGAUCGGGUCCUAGUGAGUCAAGCUCCAGCUGCGUCUACCCAUCUUACUCAUAUCUAUAUACAUACCAACUCAAACACGUAGCUCCAGAUCGCCAUAAAACAAUAAUCACAGCAAUAUCAUCAAGAACAAAUGCAAUAUAAAACAUGCCUAAUAUUUACUACAUACAUAUAUGUAUAAGUGAAGCAUGAACAUGCUUUGAAUAUAAUAAUAUUGAAAUUAUAAAUAA